GAGCUGGUGUUGGCAAACACUGCUGUAAAUCAAAUGUGUACACCUGUAACGUGUCAUCAUUCUUGCACAUUAGCGUGUCAGCUCGUUUCAUUUCAUAGGCUUGAUCAGCUAGCG